CCCAUUCAUUCCAUUGGAGCACCCAUGGGUGCCCCUCAAUGCCCAUUCAUUCCAUCGAGCACCCAUGGGUGCCCCCAAAUCCCAUUCAUUCCAUUGGAGCACCCAUGGGUGCCCCCCGACCCCACCUAUGACACAGGAGCACCCAUGGGUGCCCAAGACCCCACACAUUCCAUAGAAGCACCCAUGGGUGCCCCCAAAUCCCAUUCAUUCCAGUGGAGCACCCAUGGGUGCACCCAAAUCCCAUUCAUUCCAUAGGAGCACCCAUGGGUGCCCCUCAAAGCCCAUUCAUUCCAUUGAGCACCCAUGGGUGCCCCCCGACCCCACCUAUUAAACAGGAGCACCCAUGGGUGUCCAAUACCUCAUUCAUUCCAGUGGAGCACCCAUGGGUGCCCCCCGACCCCACUUAUUGCACAGGAGCACCCAUGGGUGCCCUCAGCUCCCAUUUAUUGCACAGGAGCACCCAUGGGUGCCCCAGACCCCAAAUUUUCCAUAGGAGUAUCCAUGGGUGCCCCCAAAGCCCAUUUAUUCCAUUGGAGCACCCAUGGGUGCCCCCAAAUCCUCCAUGGAAGCACCCAUGGGUACCCUAAGUUCCCAUUUAUUCCGCAUCAGCACCCAUGGGUGCCCUCAGCUCCCAUUUAUUGCACAGGAGCACCCACGGGUGCCCCCAGACCCCAUUUAUUGCACAGGAGCACCCACGGGUGCUCCAGACCCCAAAUCCUCCACAGGAGCACCCAUGGGUGCUCCCAGACCCUGAAGAUUAAGAGAGGAGCACCUAUGGGUGCCCCUAGACCCCGUUUAUUGCACAGGAGCACCCAUGGGUGCCCCAGACCCUAAAUCCUUUAAGGCAGCACCCAUGGGUGCCCCCAGACCCCGCACAUUCCGUGGGAGCACCCACGGGUGCCCCCAGAUCCCAAAUCCUCCGCAGGAGCACCCAUGGGUGCCCCCAGAUCCCAAACAGAAGCACCCAUGGGUGCCCCCAAACCCCGAAUCUUUUAAGGCAGCACCCACGGGUGCCCCCAGACCCACGCCUUCCCCAGGAGCACCCACGGGUGGGAGGGUACGGGGGCGCGCGGGCCGUCCCCCCCAUCCCCCCCGCUCCUGCCCCCCAGAGGGGGGUGGGGUUAUUGCAAGGGGGGGGUGGGGGGGUCGGGGGGCACCCAUGGGUGCUACUCGGCCACCUGCACCCCCGCGCAGUUCUCCUUGCUCUCGGAGGUGAUGGCCAGGUACUCGGAGCUGGGGGAGGGGGGGGAGGAAACAACGCGGUCAGCCCCACAACAGGCGGACGACACCGCGACAACACCACGACUGUCACCCCAACGACACCCCAACACCACCCCAAUGGGCACCCCAACAACACCCUCACUGACACCCAGCGGUCACCCCGACAACACCCCAGGUAACACACCAACAACACCCCACCAACACCCUGACAACACCCCAACUAACACACCAACAACACCCCAACAACACCCCGGCAACACCCCACCAACACCCCACCAACACACCAACAACACCCCAACCAACACCUUGACAACAACCCAACUAACACCCCAGCAACACCCCCAUGGACACCCCACCAACACCCCACCAACACCUUGACAACACCCCACCAACACCCCCACCAACACCCCAACAACACCCCAACUAAGACAGCAACAACACCCCAGCAACACCCCGACAACACCCCACCAACACCUCGACAACACACCAACAACACCCCAGCAACACCCCAACUAACACACCAACAACACCCCAACCAACACCUUGACAACAACCCAACUAACACACCGACAACACCCCCAUGGACACCCCACCAACACCUUGAGAACACCCC
rnacentral:lncRNA from 1 species